UGAGGAACGAAAGCCGGGGUAGCAAAUGGGAUUAGAUACCCCAGUAGUCCCGGCCGUAAACGAUGGAUACUAGGUGUUGCGGGUAUCGACCCCUGCAGUGCCGAAGCCAACGCGUUAAGUAUCCCGCCUGGGGAGUACGCACGCAAGUGUGAAACUCAAAGGAAUUGACGGGGACCCGCACAAGCGGUGGAACAUGUGGUUUAAUUCGAAGCAACGCGAAGAACCUUACCAGGGCUUGACAUCUGACUAACCUGAAUGAAAGUUUAGGGUGCCCUUCGGGGAGCGUCAAGACAGGUGGUGCACGGUUGUCGUCAGCUCGUGUCGUGAGAUGUUGGGUUAAGUCCCGCAACGAGCGCAACCCUCGUCGUUAGUUGGUAUUGUUGGUAUACUGAUAAUAACCUCUCUAGCGAGACUGCCGGUGAUAAACCGGAGGAAGGUGAGGACGACGUCAAAUCAUCAUGCCCCUUAUGCUCUGGGCUACACACGUUUGACGGGGGGGGGGACAAAGAGCCGCCAACUUGCGAGAGUGAGCAAAUCUCUAAAAGCCGGUCUCAGUUCGGACGCAGUGCACAACUCGACUGCACGAAGUCGGAAUCGCUG
rnacentral:rRNA from 1 species